CUAGGCUGGACUGGAUUUCAGCCCUUACUACAGGGUCAGUGUUUUUUCAUGGCAUGCACCAUGCCAGCUCCCCUGUUCAAGAGACAGAAAUCCCAGAUUUCUGUGUGAACCUUUUCAAUCCCGAAGACAAGUACUUCACAUUUUUUAAAAUUCUGAGAGCCCAGCAAACACUUCUGUGCCCCCAUUUAGACCCCUGGCCACCAGUUUGCGAACCCUAGAUCCGUGGCUAUUUUCUCGUGGGUUUGGCUGUUUUCCGGACCAAUAAGGUAAGCUCGGAGCCUCGGUUUACCCACGUACACAGGCGGGGAUUGGGGCAGAUGGUUCCGUGCGGGCGCUGCCUGGGUGUACUGGCUCGGGCACAGCGCAUCCUCGAAGAGUGGAUACGAAGAGUAAGCGUUUGCAUCUUUGAAUUCAGGGAGAAGUAGUCUCUGUGUGCGGUCAGGUGACCCGGGUCUGAUCUGCUCAGGCACGGGCGAUUUAGGGGAAGUGAAGCUAUAGGAGAUGCCCUUGUGGAAAUGCAAGUUUCUGCGUUAUCCUCCUUCCAGCGUAUCCUGGGGGUUAGGCAGCCCUUCUCCUGCCCUCACCCGGGGCCAGGACACAGAGGUGGACUCGAGUCUAGCUCUAGUGCCUGUCCUGUUGGGGAAAAGUUGGCUUGGAACCCUCCUCUAGCAUUCAGCCAUACAGGGGCUUGGAAUCCCGGAGCCCAGUCGCUCUACAGGAGAGAGAAAAGGAGAGAGCUGCUGGCCCGCGACCUCCGCGAGCUGUUGCCAUGGCCACAGCAGACUUUUGCUGUGAAGUGCGGUGACCACACCCCCAACUUCCCUUCUCCUCUCGCCUUCUGGAUGACGUCAUGGGCGUCCUCGGCGCUGACUGGCUACCUGUGGGUCGGUCUCGCCUUUAAAGCAGCCGUUCUCCCCCGACCCCCGCAGCUGCAGCGACGGUGUCGGCGCCGAGGGCACCCUGCCGGGACUCUGGAUCCGCCUCUCGCCCGGUCGGAGCGGCCACGGCUCCGGACAGCACCGAUUACCGGAGAGAGCUUUUAG
rnacentral:lncRNA from 1 species